UACGUAUGGUGCAAGCGUUAUCCGGAUUUACUGGGUGUAAAGGGAGCGCAGGCGGCACGGCAAGCCUGAUGUGAAAGCCCGCGGCCCAACCGCGGGACUGCAUUUGGAACUGUAUAGCUAGAGUGUCGGAGAGGCUGGCGGAAUUCCUAGUGUAGCGGUGAAAUGCGUAGAUAUUAGGAGGAACACCAGUGGCGAAGGCGGCCUGCUGGACGAUGACUGACGUUGAGGCUCGAAAGCGUGGGGAGCAAACAGG
rnacentral:rRNA from 1 species